rnacentral:rRNA from 1 species
UUUUCCGCGCCGUAGCUAACGCAUUAAGUGCCCCGCCUGGGGAGUACGGCCGCAAGGCUAAAACUCAAAGAAAUUGACGGGGGCCCGCACAAGCGGCGGAGCAUGUGGAUUAAUUCGAUGCAACGCGAAGAACCUUACCUGGGUUUGACAUGGAUCGGGAGUGCUCAGAGAUGGGUGUGCCUCUUUUGGGGUCGGUUCACAGGUGGUGCAUGGCUGUCGUCAGCUCGUGUCGUG